GCAUGCAUGGUUGCUUGCCUCCCCCCACAAAGAUGACAAUGGUACGGGGCAGAGGUGAUCAUUGGUUUGAUUGAUUCUCUACGGAUGCAUGUCCUACCUACGGGGGAGAAUCGCCAGGGUCUUCCGGCUAGCUCUACGAGGAGGGAGAGAUCCACAUGUCAGUGACGAUAAUGAUAAUGACGUAAUGAUAGUGGAUCUAUAAGCGUUCUUUACCUGAUCAGAUGGUAAUCAUGAAAGAGAGCAUAGGAGAGAGAAAAAUGGUUGUUUUGCAUGGAGUCAGAAAAAUAUCGACUAUUGGCGCAUAAAACGAGGAGACAACUAGAAAAUCUGUUUUGUACGUGUGCUGACUCUAACCAGAGAUGUUGAUCAGAUGAAAUGUGAAUAAGAAAUUAUUAGCCUGUAAUUAUGAAAAGUAAGCUUAAAAAACUGUACUUUGUGUGAGUUUUUUUUGCUAACGUAGCUUGAGAUAGAGCCCAUAAUAGGCUCUACCAUUGAACAUGCUCUAAUAAAGAUAAUCUAAGUCAUUUUUCUCCUCUCGUAAUUUGGCUUAUAAAUGGUAGAAUGAUUUGUUUUUUUGGAUGGAAAGUAAAAUUGAACUUUUAUAGUAGU